CCAGAGAAGAGGCAGAGUCUGAAUUUCUGUGGAAUUGUCUGGUUAUUUUCUGUUCUCUCGGCGGAACAUUCCAGGGAAAUCACACCAGAACAGUUCUCUGGCCCAGUCAGUCAACAAAACUUUAAAGUCGGUGCCGUUUGUGAAACUUUGACCUUCCAAGAGUAGGUCUGGGAUAUAAAUGCUGUAUUUCAGACUGAAGAGGAAACACCUUUCACAUGAGGUAUGAGAUGAUGCUCCGUAAAAAUAAGAGACUUCACAAACGUGCUUCCCAGCAACAGAGAGAUGUCCAGGCUAAAGCCCAGACAAGCCCGGCUCCUCAGGAACAUCCGUCCACCGGCGCCGUCCCCGCUCCCUUUGCCUGUCCAGAAGUUCAGGCCCAGUCCCAAAGUCACCAGGAAUUUCCAGACAGAAUAUACCUGCUGGCAUCAGUCAUUUUCCAGAAUCUCCACCCGGAAAAGCCGGCGAUGCGAAAAUUGGUGAAUUAUGGCAACAAGAGAAGGCUCCCGUUACCUGAAGUGAAGUUCGAAGAGCGACCUUCAUCUUAUGAGCUGGCCUUCAAUACGCUUAAAUAAAAGUUGCUCAGUAAGCUCCGUAACGGUGGCCGAGGACACCGACUUGGCUGUGGGCUCACUGUGACCGUCCACCAAGGAUGAAAUACAGAGUGGAAUAAGAGUCGCUGAUGAAGGUUUGACAUUUCCGGAGGACGGUGAAGUCACACGGACAACAACCAUCUUCCAGGACUUUUAAACUCUCUUUUUAAACUCCUAAACUCUUAAAUUAAGAGUCGGCUGAAUCGUGUCCACCACAGGAGACUGCCUCCUCUUCUCUUCUCUCUUUCUGACCAUUGAUCUUCUCCACAGCGUCUCUGUCUCAGUGUCCACAGUUACCAGACGUCCAUGAGCUGACUGUGGCUGCUGUAUUGUGUGUGUGCGUGUGUGUGAGUGUGUGCACGCGCGCGCCUGAGCGCAGAGGGCUUUGGGAGCCCUUUGUGUUGGGCUGGAUUUAGAGGCUGCCUUUUUGUCCUUGGCUAUGAUCCGAGCAGCCGUCACCAGUUCACUGCAUGUGAAAAUGGGCAGGAGGUCGUUUAAAAUGUACGAUUGCGUCGUUAUUUAGCUCAAGCAGAUUAUCCAACAUAGUUGUGCAACAUUAUGACACCAGGAGCUUCCAUUCAGCUCGUUGUCCUUCACCAAAGAUUUAUCUGCCUGUUCUUCUUACCAUGAAUGAUUAGGAUGUCAGGAAAGAGGCCACAGAGGAGAUACUAAGGAAAAGCGUUGUGAUAACCAGCGCCCCCUACUGGCACGCGAGGGAGUUCUUGCUGGACGCAUAAGACUUAUUUUAAUACAUCUGUCACCAGUGUCACCAUACUUGCUUCUUUAAAACCCUGCUUUUUUACAUGUAUUUGUUCACAUGCUGGAAUAAGAGGAUGAGUUAUCCUGCAUUAGAAUAAUGAACUGAACUCUGUGGGAUCCUUAGCUCUUUAAAAAGAAUUGGUCACGGAUGAAAAAUGAAGGGCUGGCUGAGAAAUGUUUGGUGCCAGGGCAACUCUGCAAUGCUCACACGAACUGUAUAUUUGACACCGUUACGACCUGUUCAUUUGUUGGCCAGAGGAAUGUUCAGGACAGCUGAAUUGCAUGAAUAAAUUCCAAUAGUGUUGUAAAAUAAUGUCUAAAAACCUCUGUGGGAGUAUUCAUGGUUAAGCCUAUAUGCAGCAUAGAGGCUAAUUAUUGUAUUAUGUUUGCAUAUUAGCUCAGGAGCGGGGGCUUCCUUCCUUCUUCCUGCCACUGUUUUUAAUAUUUUCUCUCUUUUUUGUAGAUCUGGUUUCGUCUUUAAACUAGUUGUCCACUCCUCUCACAUAUACAUUACGGUACUAUGCCUUGUU
ensembl:lncRNA